rfam:Bombyx mori DNA, contig: Bm_scaf28_contig18132, strain: p50T/Dazao, build 2, whole genome shotgun sequence.
CGCUUCGUGUUGUAUGGAAGACUAGUGAUUUUGUUGUUUUUGUUGACUAACAAGAAAUCACUAAUCUGCCUACAAAGCGACAGCA